AUUAGCCUCAUGAUUUGAUUUUUAAUUGCUCCAUUUCCUAAACAGUUCCAGGGUGACACUGUAGUGAUUCCUAAAGAAAGCUCUUGGUUCGGAUUUUACCCGGAUGGAGCUUCCACACCUCUUUUGUCUCCUCAACAGGUGAACCUUGAUCAACCACCAUGUCAUUUCUUUGCCUGAUCAUCAACCACUAUUUUCAAACUAUAUAUAAUUCUCCAGACAAAGCUCUAUACUGAGGACUGGAUAGGUCUGAAAACCUUGGAUGCUGCCGGAAAAGUUAAGUUUGUCAGCGUCCCUGGCGAGCACCUCAGAAUGGCGCAAGAUGAAGUUGUAAAAUACGUCGUGCCUUACCUCAAGAAUCAGCCUGCAUUUUUCCUCUGAAUGCAGAUAUAACCUUAAUGCAAUGGAGACACUGCAUCCAUGAAUGAGACUUCAUUGCUCUGCUCUCUCCGAAACAAUUUUAAAAAGCUUCAUCAUGUACUGUAUAACGUUAGAGGCUACUUAUUCUCGAUCGCUUUUAAGUAUACAUGGAAAACUACAAAACUCAAUAAUAAAACUCGAUCAUGUUGAUGAGAUGAGGAAACUACGCCUGAAUAGUAACAAUAGUUUGGUUUGUCUAAGGAAAGAUCAAACGUAUUUGGAAUAUUCAAAGGAUCUAUCUACCAAAGCUUAACAAAUAACACAACUUAGUGUUCUUUCAUGGUAUAGUAUGUAGUAGCUAGUGUCUUCGUAUGAUAUUGUAUAAUUUAGUCAACUCACCUCAACAAAAUACUAUGAAACUAGUAUAUUUCAUGAUAUUGAAAAUUAUGUUUUUCUUAGCUCAUUUUUCCUUCUUAUGAAUUCAUAAUCAGUUCUAGAACGAUACAAGAAUGAUCGCUAAAGAAACUUCUUGGUUUGGGUAUUAAUCGUCUAGAGGAAUGUUUCUUCAUCGAUCAAAUAAUUUUUCGUCCAGAAACCUAACUAUUCACCAGACUACGCUAUACAGAGAGCAUUGCAGGAUAGGUCCGAAAACAUUGGAUGGUCCCGGAGAAGUUGUCAGGAGAGUUGUGAAACACGUUUUGUCCCUUACAAUUGUUGCAAAGUUGGUCCGUGACUUAUUUGGAUAUUUUGUGACAGGUAUUGAAACUACAUAUGUAGAAUCAAUUAUUAACUACAUAUUGCAAAAAACGUUCUGGAAAAUACUAACUUGUAUGGAGCCACGUAUUAGUUGGCGUCGAGCUUACCUGUCAUACAGUACAAAUACAAUAAUUCACAUUUUGUCUAUAUAAAGGAUCGAAACUAAUUCAUACAUACACACACCUCACAACUUUCUAUCGCUCUGUUACUCUUCUACAAAGGUGUUAUAACUUCUCUAUUAAUUAUAUCUUCAUCUAUCAUACUUUUCUAUUUGCUGUCAAACAUAAUAAAAUCAUAUACAUGUAUAUAUACUUUUUUUUAUACCAACACCAGUAAUGCGUUCUAUAACUUUGCUUUGUAAAAAAGACAAAAAAAAAAAAAAAAAAAAAAAGAAGAAGAAGAUAUUAUCACCGUGAAGAGAAUUUUAGAUGAGUUAAAUGUAAUUCAUAUACAUGCACGUAACGUAGAGUUCUUGAAUUUUUUGUUUACGUUAAUUAAAUAUUUCUUGCCGUCAUGCUUCUUAGUUCUUUGGGUUCCUCAAAAAUUAAAAUACUCUUCUUUUGUGUGUUUUAUUUAAGAAAGAAUCGACGGUACUCAUCGGCUGAGUAGCUAGCUCAAUGGAGAAGAGUCUCCAACGAUUUUCUCUCCUUGUGAUCACCUUGUCUCUCUUCAGUUUCUCCAUUCCAGUUUCACUCUCUCUUCCAUUUGUUGUGUUUCAUGGUGAGUAACAUUAAUCCUUAUUCUUGCUCCUCUCUUUUUCCUCCUUUAAUCUACAUUAAUGGAUUUGAUUGAAACAGGGUUUGGAGGUGAAUGUUCCAAUAACAAAGUUAGCAACUUAACACUGUCCCUCCGCACCCUCUCCGGCCACCCUGGAUCUUGCGUGUAUUGACUCAAACUAAUCUUGUUCUUCUUCUUGUUUCAUCCUAAUCUUGCAUAAUGGUUUACCCCUGUCUGUCUCUCUGUUUUUGUGUCAUCUUGUAGAGAGAUAGGAAAUGGACUACUGGAUUCUUUAUUCAUGCCGAUUAGGCAACAAGCGAGUGAAGCUUGUAAGAAAAUUAAACAGAUGCCAGAGCUGAGUGAAGGUUACAACAUUGUUGCAGAGUCUCAAGGUAACUUAGUUGCUAGAGGACUUAUCGAGUUUUGCGACAAUGCUCCACCUGUCAUCAACUAUGUCUCCUUAGGAGGUCCUCAUGCUGGCAUAGCUGCCAUCCCCGAGGGGUGUACUGUGAGUUCUCUUUCAGAAAAAUCACAUUCUUUAUCACAAGAACAGUAACAAUAACAAUGUGGUUCUCUGUUUACGUACAGCUCCUAGUUUGCAAGUUGCUGGAGGAACAUUUUUCAGAUGUUUACACCCACUUAGUACAAGUAAACUUUUCUCUCUUCUUCUCUAAUCAGGAGGAUUUAAACCUUAAACCAUGAUUAAUACAUAUCAUUAAGACCACCAAUAAUAUAUAUGACUCUGCAGGAUCAUGUUGCUCCAAGUGGUUAUGUCAAAAUCCCUACUGUAAACUCAAAACCCUUUCCUUUCUAAAUCCUCAAUUCACUUCCAAUCAUACCAACACUUCAAUCCGACAAAACGUUAUCUGGUUUUCAGGACAUAGAAAAGUAUUUGGAAUAUUCCAAGUAUCUGCCAGAGCUCAACAACGAGAGACCUGGCGAGAAGAACUCCACUUUUAAAGACCGUUUCACCAGCUUGCACAACUUAGUCCUCAUCAUGGUGACUAUCUCUCUCUCUCUGAUCCUUGAGAUGAUCAAACUUAAAACACUAUUUUUAUUAGUUUUGUUUUUUUUAUCCAUAUCCUAAACACUUAAACAGUACCAAAACGAUACAAUGUUGGUCCCAAGAGAAACUUCUUGGUUCGGAUAUUACCCUGAUGGAGCUUUCUCACCUGUUUUGCCUCCUCAAAAGGUGAACCAAGUCAUCUCUCGUAUUCAAUUUUUUCACCUGACCAUCAUCAAACACUAGUUUCUAUUAACUACAGUAACUAUAUAAAUAUUGUUUCUGCAGACAAAGCUUUAUACUGAAGACUGGAUUGGUCUGAAAACCUUGGAUGAUGCUGGAAAAGUGAAGUUUGUUAGUGUCCCUGGCGGACACAUCGAAAUAAGGGACGAAGACCUUGUCAAAUACGUUGUGCCUUACCUCCAGAACGAGUCUACGUUAUCUUCCGAACACGAGGCAAUGUAGACAUUGCAAUCUUGAACCAACGAGAAUAAAAAAGGCCUCAUCCUAUAAAAUAAAGGUCUUUAUGAAUGUAACAUCAUCAUCUAUGUAUGAGUUGAAAUAAAAUAAAUAAAUGCUUCAUCAGUUUUAUCAAAAGAUGGUCAAUUUUUAUCCAAAUUAUUAUCAGUCUCGUAGUAUAAGCUAGAGGCUACUUUACUCAAGCUUCCCUUUAAUUAACUUACUUGGGUGGUGAUCACUUUGUUUUGGGUAAAAAAUCAUAUCAAACCGUCUGUUUAGUUUAAUUUUCAAACCUCAAGCGCGGUCUCUUCAGUUUUUGUAUAUGAAAAAAUGUUGGAACAUUUCAAAGUUUAACAACUAGAGAUCCUGACGAAAUUAAAAACCUCUACCUUGAAAGACCGGUAUAUCCAACAACUAUAACACAACUUCAAUAACGAGUGUGGACAAGACAACUCGUCUUAGUAAUUCAAUGUUUAAUUUGUUACAACUGGAAACAAAUUAAAAUUAAAUUUAUAACAUACAUCUAUAAGCUAUUUUUGAAAAUUCUCAUAUUGUUUGUAAGAGUUCAAAGAAUACGACCAACACUUGCAAAAAACGUUUUGGAAAAUAGUAACUUGAAUAGAGCCAAAAUAUUAAUUGGCGUAGAGCAUACCGUCUUACAGUAGAAUAAUUCACAUUUUGUCUAUUUAAGGGAUCAAAACUAAUUCAUACAUACACCUCACAACCUCUGAUAUAAAGUUUUUACUAAUACAAACUUCUAUCGCUCUGUUACUCUUCUAUAAAAGUAUUAUAUCUUCUCUAUUGUUUAUAUCUUCGUCUAUCAUCCUUUUAUAUUUGCCGUCAAACAAAAACAUACAUACUCUCUAAUUAUGUCAAAGAUAUAAAUAAUUAGAUGUCUUAUAGAGUUUUGCGACAAUGCUCCACCAGUCUUCAACUAUGUAUCUGUAGGAGGUCCUCACGCUAGCGUCUCCGCAAUCCCUGAUUGGUGUACUGUGAGUUCUCUUCCGUUUCUAUUUUUCUCUGUGUGUGUCGACCACAAUCACAAUCUCACAAUAAUAACAACAAUGGGGUUCUCUGUUUACAACAGUCUCUAUUUUGCUUGAUCCUCAAGGCAGUGUUUUCACAGGUCUACACCGACCUCGCUCAAGUAAACCUUCUCUCAUUCUUCUUCUCUAAACAGGACUUAAACCUACAGCCAUCAUUAACAACACUUAUAAUGACUCUGCAGGAUCAUAUUGCUCCAAGUGGUUACGUCAAGAUCCCUACAGUAAACUCAAACCCUUUACUCUCUAAUGCUCAAAAUCAUUUCCAAUUAUACUUUCAAUGGACAAAACGUUAUCUGUUUUUCAGGAUAUAAAGAAUUAUUUGGAAAACUCCAAGUAUCUGCCGAAGCUAAACAACGAGAGACCUCUCGAGAAGAACUCUACUUACAAAGACCGUUUCACCAGCUUGCACCACUUAGUUCUCAUCAUGGUGCCACUCUCUCUCUCUCUCUCUGAGACCAAUGAUCCUUUACCCAAAUUGCUAAUUUAGCUCAUCAUUAAUUUUCUAUCUUUUUCCAUUUCCUAAACAGUUCGAGAAAGAGAAUGUAAUGAUUCCUAAAGAAACUUCUUGGUUCGGAUAUUACCCGGAUGGAGCUUCCACACCUGUUUUGCCUCCUCAAAAGGUGAACUUAACCAAUCUCUCGAACUCAAUUUCUUAACCACUUGGCUACUUAAUGUUCUUCCUAACAGACGAAGCUCUACACUGAGGACUGGAUUGGUCUGAAAACCUUGGAUGCUGCCGGG
rnacentral:lncRNA from 1 species